ensembl:lncRNA
GUCAGUAGCUAUAUUCAGGGACAGUUCCAGGGUCAGUAGCUAUAUUCAGGGACAGUUCCAGGGUCAGUAGCUAUAUUCAGGGACAGUUCCAGGGUCAGUUCCAGGGACAGUAAGCUAUAUUCAGGGACAGUUCCAGGGUCAGUAGCUAUAUUCAGGGACAGUUCCAGGGUCAGUAGCUAUAUUCAGGGACAGUUCCAGGGUCAGUAGCUAUAUUCAGGGACAGUUCCAGGGUCAGUUCCAGGGUCAGUAGCUAUAUUCAGGUACAGUAAGCUAUAUUCAGGGACAGUUCCAGGGUCAGUAGCUAUAUUCAGGGACAGUUCCAGGGUCAGUAGCUAUAUUCAGAGACAGUUCCAGGGUCAGUACCUAUAUACAGGGACAGUUCCAGGGUCAGUAAGCUAUGUUCAGGGACAGUUCCAGGGUCAGAAAGCUAUGUUCAGGGACAGUUCCAGGGACAGUUCCAGGGGUCAGUAGCUAUAUUCAGGGACAGUUCCAGGGACAGUUCCAGGGUCAGUAAGCUAUGUUCAGGGACAGUUCCAGGGUCAGUUCCAGGUUCCAGGGACAGUUCCAGGGUCAGUAAGCUAUGUUCAGGGACAGUUCCAGGGACAGUUCCAGGGUCAGUAAGCUAUAUUCAGGGACAGUUCCAGGGUCAGUAGCUAUAUUCAGGGAC